UGAGGAAUCUUGCGCAAUGGGGGAAACCCUGACGCAGCAACGCCGCGUGAGUGAAGAAGGCCUUCGGGUCGUAAAGCUCUGUCAGAUGGGAAGAAAUGGAUGGGGGCUAAUAUCGUCCAUCCUUGACGGUACCAUCAGAGGAAGCACCGGCUAACUCCGUGCCAGCAGCCGCGGUAAUACGGGGGGUGCAAGCGUUGUUCGGAAUCAUUGGGCGUAACGCGCGCGCAGGCGGGUUGGUAAGUUGGAUGUGAAAGCCCGGGGCUUAACCCAGGAAGUGCAUUGGAGACUG
rnacentral:rRNA from 1 species